rnacentral:sRNA from 1 species
UAAGAUCAAGUAGUUGAAGAGGAAGCAACUCAUAUUGUAUGUAUGGCUCCCUUUUGUCUCGGUAGAAUGCACCCAAAUGAGUCACUGGUGAAUCUGGUGUAGCUAAUCAAGCCAAAAUAAAACAUGGUUUUGAUAAAUAUAUGGCUGUAAUAAGGAGCUCCUCACAUCGGAUAGAUUUUUUUUCUAUAAAGUAUUUGUAAUUGUAACAUAGAAUGUAAACAGUGAAAUGAAAUCGGGCGACGAAUCUCAGUUAUACAACAAAUGUAUUGAAGGCGAUGUCUUAACAUUUACUUUAAGUGGAAGAGAAACCUAUGGCAUUUACGUAGGAAAUGGUAUGAUUGUUCACUCAGUGAAAAAUGCCAGCAUUGAUACAAACAGACAUAGAUCCAGUCUUUUACGUUAUCUAUUAGGUCCUAAGUGUUACUCGGUUACAUUAGAUAAAAUGGAAGAUUGGUCUCAUAAUACACAAGCUACAAAAAUAGAACUUGGAGUGCCUAU